CAAUGUUGAAUGAAGUGUUUGAGGCCUUUGUGGACAACUCACAUGGUCAGAAAAUAAAGAUUGGUGUCUUUGAUUAAGACUAAGUGUCUGAUGAUGAAUCUCUUGGAUCAUACAUGUUGAGGCUGACAUUGGUACAAUUGUCCAACAAGGCAAUGCUGGAUUGGUAAGUUGCAAAUCUUUUGCUAACUAAAGAGUUGUA